UGGUGGUUUUGCCGGGGGUGUUCACCUCUUCCCAUUCCGAACAGAGAAGUUAAGUCCCCCAUGGCCGAUGGUACUCGCAUCUAGCUGGGAGAGUAGGUAGCUGCCAUAU
rnacentral:rRNA from 1 species